UGAUGUAAGUUGAAGUACUGAACGAACCCUGUCAUAUGAAGCAGAGCAGUUUAAUGUGUGUCUGAAAAGGAUGUCGUGAAUAACCUUUAGCCAAACGUCUCCAUGGGAACCUGAGGGGUGGUUAUUUCAUUCGUUGCAUCUCCAGGCAAAUGUUUUCAAGACGUAUCGAGUUCUCUUUAAAUGUAACAAGCAGUAAGUUACCUCCAAUAGAAGCUAACGGUACGACGAACUACACGCAGCAGACGACGUCCCGGUGUAUUAACGUCGAGGCCAGUAAGCUGAAUUGUUUAUUGACAGGCGUUUUGAAGGAUGACAUCAACAACAUGCUGUCCAGCUCCAUGUCAUAACAGAAAUGCGUUGACCUGGCUUCUAUGCCCAAACAUUGAUCAUGUGUCCUCUGCAUUGCAAAUUCUUGUUCACCUUGCUCAGGAGGACAAAGGUGAACUUGUCGAAAAGGUUCUUCAGCACUGCAACCCAGAAUUAUGCAUAGAUGCUCUUCGAAAACUGCUGAAGUCACCUGCCUCAUGGCUGAGUAGUACUGGAGCUUGUAUCUUUGGGGUCCUGCUGGAAAAUGAGUCCAUGGUGCUGAAACUUCAGAAGGGGACCAAAGGGGAAAGCAAUCUCAUAUGUGACCUUGUUCAGAUGUUUACUGAAGAUGAUCCUGAUGUUGUGAUGAAUGCUGCUGGAGCCAUAGCCUCAUUGUUUUACAAAUGAAGAAAUCAACAAAGAAGAAUGAAGAACCCAAAGAAAUCAAACCCUCUAGCACCACCAACAGCUCAAAGUUGCACUCAUGUUCAUGCUAAUAAGUUUAGAACCGUAAAGUUUAGACCAUAGACUGUAAAAAAACAUGGACGAAGUGUCUGUGACAUCACCCAUAGGUUUCCGAAGAGUGUUUUAAAGGCCUAAAGUAGGUGGAGCCGACCGUUGCCAUCUUGGCAGCGCGUCACUCCCGGAUAAUCGAAAAUGGGCAAAAAAGCGGGAGAUGGUUGUUGAAACCACGCCCACCUAUCUCGACAUUGAUGACAGCAGCGGCAAUCCACCUGUCACUCAAGUGGCCAUGCCAUUAAUUAUGCAGAACUUUAAGGCUUAAUAUAAUUUAAACGGAUGAGUUAUUCACCCCCCUCACAGUUGUCAUGAAGGGCAAAAUUAGCUAUGUGGACCAAAAUGAUUUUUUGAACCAGGCUGUAAACAUGUUUUUUCUGCUGUAAAUUUGGGCAUUUUAACAUGGGGAGUCUGUGGAGUUGACUCCCUUUUGCAGCCAGCUUCUAGUGGCCAGUUGAGGAAUUAGUUUAAGUCCCUUCUGUGUUGGCCUCACGAGAGAGAGCGUGAGGUUGCCGCUUGGUUUAGACACUAAAUUAUUUUUUCCCCCACUGAUUUCCUGGCUAAUGUUAAGUCGAAUACAUAGCAAAAUUUUUAAUUCUAUGGUUCAAGAUUUUUCAAUUUUAAAUGAUAAAAAAAACUACUUUUUCUACUUUUCUUUUUCUAAUUUUCACUAAUUGUCAAACCAUUCUCCAACAAUGUGCAAAUGAAUACAAUGAAGUGCAUGCAAAACUGAAUGUGAGGCUAUAUCUCCACAAUGUUUAAGCAUAUUCUGACCAAACUUGGUGUGUUAUGACAACCAUGACCUGAGGCUACCUGCACAGUUUUCUAUCUAGUGUAGAAACCAUUAAAUCAUACUACUAAUGACUGAAUUUAUGACUAUUUCAGCCAGUUUGAGUAAAAUAACCUUACUCAGGUUUAGAUUAUAUAUAUAUAUAUAUAUAUAUAUAUAUAUA
ensembl:lncRNA